GAUGAACGCUAGCUACAGGCUUAACACAUGCAAGUCGCGGGGCAGCAUGGGGGUUGCUUGCAAUCCCCGAUGGCGACCGGCGCACGGGUGAGUAACGCGUAUCCAACCUGCCCUUCACCACGGGAUAACCCGGCGAAAGUCGGACUAAUACCGUAUGUUGUCCAUUGACGGCAUCCGAUUUGGACGAAAGGUUUGGCGGUGAAGGAUGGGGAUGCGUCCGAUUAGCUGGACGGCGGGGUGACGGCCCACCGUGGCGACGAUCGGUAGGGGUUCUGAGAGGAAGGUCCCCCACACUGGAACUGAGACACGGUCCAGACUCCUACGGGAGGCAGCAAUGAGGAAUAUUGGUCAAUGGGCGUAAGCCUGAACCAGCCAAGUAGCGUGCAGGAUGACGGCCCUAUGGGUUGUAAACUGCUUUUAUGCGGGGAUAAAGUGGCCCACGUGUGGGUUUUUGCAGGUACCGCAUGAAUAAGGACCGGCUAAUUCCGUG
rnacentral:rRNA from 1 species